rnacentral:tRNA from 2 species
GCGGGUGUAGUUCAAUGGUAGAACUUCAGCCUUCCAAGCUGAUAGCGUGGGUUCGAUUCCCAUCGCCCGCU